GCUACUACCGAUUGAAUGGUCCGGUGAAGCCUCGGGAUUGUGGCGAGUUCCCUUUAUUGGGAGUUUGUCGCGAGAACUUGUCUAAACCUUAUCAUUUAGAGGAAGGUGAAGUCGUAACAAGGUUUCCGUAGGUGAACCUGCAGAAGGACA
rnacentral:misc_RNA from 1 species